CCGGAUUCAGAAGUCCCAUGGUGGAAGAGUGAACCAACUCCUGAAUACUGUCUUCUGCUUGUCAUAUGUAUGACAUGAUGCAUGUGUUCACACACUUACAUGAAUAAAUAUACAAACACUAAGAACGAAGGGAUGGGGCUCUUGGAGCAGAAAGUGCAUUAAUGUCCCCUGAAUGUUAUUUUGGUAUCUUUCCUGUAUAUUCUCUCUAGUGAGUCCUCUACAAACUGAGCUGUCUCAGAAUACCAAAGUGUUUGUCUGCUGAGUGUCACAGGGCGCUCUGCUUGUUGAAGCUGGAACCGCGUGAAAGCCUGGGUUAAACUCUGGAAAGAGGAAAACACACCAUUCCUCUGGCAGAGUGAUCCCUGUGCAGUCAGUGAUGUGCACGCCCCCGCAUAGGGGCUCUCCCACGGUGCGGACCAAUAUGCACCCACAGGCACUGGCGCCGCACGGGUGCCUUUCCUCUCCACCAGCUUUCUCGCCCAAAGAAUCCGCUUAUUCCCCUGCCGCAGUGUUUUCCUGUCUCCAUGUGCCGCCCAUCCGCACAGGUGUUUCGCUUUCCUUGUGACUCUGAGUUUCUUUGAAAAGUGAAAAACCACGGGAAAAAAGCGAAAGUUUCGGGCAACUGCUGAGAGUGGCUAGGAGGAGGGAGAAGUGGCCGGGUUAGGAAUUCAGCCUGCAGAGGGAAAAUGCUGAAGAAUGGGCAGUUUGUUGUUUAGUGAAAGACCAGUCUAAUGUGGAUCGUCAGUUAAUCUACAGCGUCUGUGGAAAGACCCAUGCUUACUGAAUCGUGGUGACACGAUUCACCAAUAAGCUGUAGCUGGCAUCAACCUACAAUUACCUGGAAAAUCGAAACAGACAAAUUAAAAACCCGCAAAAUCACUGGUGCCCAAGCUUCUACUUCACUGUUUUAAAAUCAAAAGAUAUUCUUUUAUGAAGUCCCUCGGUAAAAUGAGAAUAUCAGAAAAGUGCUUACCACUUAAAAUGUCCUUUGACUGCAAAAUAUUAAGAGUCAUACAACUUGACUUUUGAAAUUACUAUAACACUGACUCCAGAAGAGUGUUGAAGUAAAAAGGAACAACAACAACAACAACAAAUCAAGACAGCUAGAAAAGCAUGGCUGGACAUCUCUAGUGCAGAGGAGGCAUGUUGACACAAGUACUGUUCCUCCACAGAACUCAAGAACAACUCUAAGGAUGACAAGGAACAAUGUGAAGUUCCUGCACAGUGCCACUUGGCAACAUUUAAAAAAAAAUUUAUUCCCAGAGGACAUGAGAUGCUGGGUCAAUGAAGACUGAAAGUGACACAGGGAACCACUAGGACAUCCCUUGGGACAGAGUGAAGCUGGAGCUCCUAUUUCCCAUUCAAGGCAGAGGCUCAUC
rnacentral:lncRNA from 1 species